UCCUUCUACAAAGGCAUGUUGGUGGUUUCCUGCCCUUGGACACAUAAGAAUUGGAGGCAAAGAGAUGUGGACUUGGAGAAUUCUGGAGCUAGCUUGCUCCCCACAGGCUAAAGAUCAUCCUUUCCCACAAAG
rnacentral:snoRNA from 1 species